CCUACGGGAGGCAGCAGUGGGGGAUAUUGCACAAUGGGGGGAACCCUGAUGCAGCGACGCCGCGUGGGUGAAGAAGCGCCUCGGCGCGUAAAGCCCUGUCAGCAGGGAAGAAAAUGACGGUACCUGAAGAAGAAGCCCCGGCUAACUACGUGCCAGCAGCCGCGGUAAUACGUAGGGGGCAAGCGUUAUCCGGAUUUACUGGGUGUAACGGGGGCGCAGACGGCGAUGCAAGCCAGGAGUGAAAGCCCGGGGCCCAACCCCGGGACUGCUCUUGGAACUGCGUGGCUGGAGUGCAGGAGGGGCAGGCGGAAUGCCUGGUGUAGCGGUGAAAUGCGUAGAUAUCAGGAGGAACACCGGUGGGGAAGGCGGCCUGCUGGACUGCAACUGACGUUGAGGCCCGAAAGCGUGGGGAGCAAACAGGAUUAGAUACCCCUGUAGUC
rnacentral:rRNA from 1 species